rnacentral:RNase_P_RNA from 1 species
GGAGUCGGCCGGGCAACCGCGUCAUGCGAAGGCAUGCCGAGGAAAGUCCGGGCUCCACAGGGCACGGUGCCAGGUAACGCCUGGGCGGCGCGAGCCGACGGAAAGUGCAACAGAGAGAAGACCGCCGAUGGCCCGCGAGGGCACAGGCAAGGGUGAAACGGUGCGGUAAGAGCGCACCGCGAGUCUGGCAACAGACCGGCACGGCAAACCCCAUCGGGAGCAAGACCAAAUAGGGAGACGAUGCCGUGGCCCGCGGUGUCUCCGGGUAGGUUGCUUGAGCGCGCCGGUGACGGCGCGCCUAGAGGAAUGGUUGCCCACGACAGAACCCGGCUUACAGGCCGGCUCCGCCC